rnacentral:rRNA from 1 species
GUCCACGGCCAUACCACCCUGAACGCGCCCAAUCCCAUCUGAUCUCAGAAGCUAAGCAGGGUCAGGCCUGGUUAGUACUUGGAUCGGAGAAGUAGGGAAGUGUAGAGC